rnacentral:rRNA from 1 species
UACGUAGGGUGCGAGCGUUAAUCGGAAUUACUGGGCGUAAAGCGUGCGCAGGCGGUUUUGUAAGCCGGAUGUGAAAUCCCCAGGCUCAACCUGGGAACUGCAUCCGAUACUGGAUGGCUUGAAUUCGGGAGAGGGAUGCAGAAUUCCAGGUGUAGCGGUGAAAUGCGUAGAUAUCUGGAGGAAUACCGGUGGCGAAGGCGGCAUCCUGGACCGACAUUGACGCUGAGGAGCGAAAGCUAGGGGAGCAAACGGG